rnacentral:rRNA from 1 species
GAACUUGGUCACGGUGGACGAGAGSGGGACAGGGGAGAAAAGUGUGGGGAACUGUGCGAGGGGGGGGGAGAUCUCCUGUGAACAGUGUCUCUUACCCCAUAAAGUCUCACGAGCCCAAAGAGGGAGCCCCUGGGCUCUUGUGCUCUCAUAUGCCCCCAUGGGGUUUUCUAUAAUGUGGGGGGACGCGUCUCCUCUGCGACAAUACCCCUGUGGGGUGAGAGGAGGACCCCCCCCACUGUGACUGAGACACGGGCCCCACACCCCCACGAGGGGACACUGGGGAAAAUUGUGCACUGUGGGCGCGCCUGAGGCGCCCCUGUGCCGUGUGUGAGAAAAGCGUUUUCGUUGUGAAGAACUUUCUCCGCGGAGAAAAGGGAUAAGGKGAAUAUCCUCGUCUAUUGUGAUUACCCCCACAAAAAACACCCCCUAUCUCUGCGUGCCCASCCGCGGGAAUACAGAGGGGGCGCGCGUUAAUCUCAAUUUCUGUGGGUAAAGAGCACACACGCGGUCUGUGUCGUCUGAUGUGUAAUCUCCCGGGUCACCCUGGGAACAGUGUUCUAAAUGUGACGCUAUAGACUUGUGUAGAGGGGGAUAAUACUCCGUGUGUCGCUGUGAUGUGUAUAGAUCUCUAGAAGUAUAGCUGUCGAGAGCG